rnacentral:rRNA from 1 species
UACGUAGGUGGCGAGCGUUGUCCGGAUUUACUGGGCGUAAAGAGCGCGCAGGCGGUCGUAUAAGUCGCGUGUGAAAGCCCCCGGCUCAACUGGGGAGGGUCACGCGAUACUGUUCGACUCGAAGGCAGGAGAGGGAAGUGGAAUUCCCGGUGUAGUGGUGAAAUGCGUAGAUAUCGGGAGGAACACCAGUGGCGAAGGCGACUUCCUGGCCUGUUCUUGACGCUGAGGCGCGAAAGCUAGGGGAGCAAACGGG